CCUACGGGUGGCUGCAGUGGGGAAUAUUGCACAAUGGGGGGAACCCUGAUGCAGCGACGCCGCGUGAGCGAUGAAGUAUUUCGGUAUGUAAAGCUCUAUCAGCAGGGAAGAAAAUGACGGUACCUGACUAAGAAGCCCCGGCUAACUACGUGCCAGCAGCCGCGGUAAUACGUAGGGGGCAAGCGUUAUCCGGAUUUACUGGGUGUAAAGGGAGCGUAGACGGCUGUGCAAGUCUGGAGUGAAAGGCAUGGGCGCAACCUGUGGACUGCUUUGGAAACUGUGCGGCUUGAGUGUCGGAGAGGCAAGUGGAAUUCCUAGUGUAGCGGUGAAAUGCGUAGAUAUUAGGAGGAACACCAGUGGCGAAGGCGGCUUGCUGGACGAUGACUGACGUUGAGGCUCGAAAGCGUGGGGAGCAAACAGGAUUAGAUACCCGUGUAGUC
rnacentral:rRNA from 1 species